AGCAGCCGCGGUAAUUCCAGCUCCAAUAGCGUAUAUUAAAGUUGUUGCAGUUAAAAAGCUCGUAGUUGAAUUUCGGGAUCAAUUAAUUGGUCGUGCCUCUGGUACGUACUGAUUUUAUUGGUUUCUCCCUUCUGACGAAUCAUGAUGUCAUUAAUUUGGUGUCGUGGAGAAUCAGGACUGUUACUUUGAAAAAUUAGAGUGUUUAAAGCAAGCUAACGCUUGAAUACAUUAGCAUGGAAUAAUGAAAUAGGACGUUUGACCCUAUUUUGUUGGUUUCUAGGAUCGACGUAAUGAUUAAUAGGGAUAGUUGGGGGCAUUAGUAUUCAAUUGUCAGAGGUGAAAUUCUUGGAUUUAUUGAAGACUAACUACUGCGAAAGCAUUUGCCAAGGAUGUUUUCAUUAAUCAAGAACGAAAGUUAGGGGAUCGAAGACGAUCAGAUACCGUCGUAGU
rnacentral:rRNA from 1 species